rnacentral:rRNA from 1 species
CCUACGGGUGGCAGCAGUGAGGAAUAUUGGUCAAUGGGCGGAAGCCUGAACCAGCCAAGUAGCGUGCAGGAUGACGGCCCUACGGGUUGUAAACUGCUUUUAUACGGGAAUAACGCGCCUUACGUGUAGGGCUUUGCAUGUACCGUAUGAAUAAGGACCGGCUAAUUCCGUGCCAGCAGCCGCGGUAUACGGAAGGUCCGGGCGUUAUCCGGAUUUAUUGGGGUUAAAGGGAGCGUAGGCCGCAUGUCAAGCGUGCUGUGAAAUGUCCGGGCUCAACCCGGGCCUUGCAGCGCGAACUGGCGUGCUUGAGUCCGCGGAAAGCAGGCGGAAUUCGUCGUGUAGCGGUGAAAUGCUUAGAUAUGACGAAGAACCCCGAUUGCGAAGGCAGCUUGCUGCAGCGGAACUGACGCUGAUGCUCGAAAGCGCGGGUAUCGAACAGGAUUAGAUACCCCAGUAGUC